CCUACGGGUGGCAGCAGUGGGGAAUAUUGCACAAUGGGGGAAACCCUGAUGCAGCGACGCCGCGUUAGUGAAGAAGUAUUUCGGUAUGUAAAGCUCUAUCAUCAGGGAAGAUAAUGACGUUACUUGAUUAAGAAGCCCCGGCUAACUACGUGCCAGCAGCCGCGGUAAUACGUAGGGGGCAAGCGUUAACCGGAUUUACUGGGUGUAAAGGGAGCGUCGACGGGAGUACAAGUCUGAAGUGAAAAGCCAGGGCUUAACCCCUGUUAUGCUUUGGAAACUGUGCAGCUAGAGUGCAGGAGAGGUAAGUGGAAUUCCUAGUGUAGCGGUGAAAUGCGUAGAUAUUAGGAGGAACACCAGUGGCGAAGGCGGCUUACUGGACUGUAACUGACGUUGAGGCUCGAAAGCGUGGGGAGCAAACAGGAUUAGAUACCCGGGUAGUC
rnacentral:rRNA from 1 species